GGGAAAUGUAAUGAAUUUGGUAUUGGACAGAUGGAUUUGAAAUGUCUCUGGAAAGAAUUGUCAGAGAUAUUGUGUAGCAUCUGCAUAUAAGAAAAUGAAUAAUUUCUGAAUUCCUGUUGUAGGAGGUGAAAACGGAAAACACAAAGUGAUGGAGGCUUUCCAGCAAGCGGGUAUGGCGUGGAAGCCUGGGGCACACCAACCCAUGAGGCUAGUCAAAGGAAGUGAAGAAGGGAAGACCGCAACAAGGGCAGGAGACAGGAGUCACAAGUACAUUUCCUGGAAUCCAAGGCCUAAGUGUGCUUUAGCAGUAAGGGAGCCACCACCAGAGUUGGAAUUCCUCAGGAGGUUUAUCUCAAAGCCAACCUGA
rnacentral:lncRNA from 1 species